rnacentral:rRNA from 1 species
UACGUAGGCAGCGAGCGUUGUUCGGAAUUACUGGGCGUAAAGAGUGUGUAGGCGGUGCUCUAAGUUCGGUGUGAAAUCUCCUGCUUAACUGGGAGGGUGCGCCGGAAACUGGGGUGCUCGAGCGUGGGAGAGGAAAGCGGAAUUCCUGGUGUAGCGGUGAAAUGCGCAGAUAUCAGGAGGAACACCGGUGGCGAAGGCGGGUCUCUGGGCCGAUACUGACGCUGGAGGAGCGAAAGCGUGGGGAGCGAACAGG